rnacentral:rRNA from 1 species
UAGGGAAUCUUCGGCAAUGGGGGCAACCCUGACCGAGCAACGCCGCGUGAGUGAAGAAGGUUUUCGGAUCGUAAAGCUCUGUUGUAAGUCAAGAACGGGUGUGAGAGUGGAAAGUUCACACUGUGACGGUAGCUUACCAGAAAGGGACGGCUAACUACGUGCCAGCAGCCGCGGUAAUACGUAGGUCCCGAGCGUUGUCCGGAUUUAUUGGGCGUAAAGCGAGCGCAGGCGGUUUGAUAAGUCUGAAGUUAAAGGCUGUGGCUCAACCAUAGUUCGCUUUGGAAACCGUCAAACUUGAGUGCAGAAGGGGAGAGUGGAAUUCCAUGUGUAGCGGUGAAAUGCGUAGAUAUAUGGAGGAACACCGGUGGCGAAAGCGGCUCUCUGGUCUGUAACUGACGCUGAGGCUCGAAAGCGUGGGGAGCGAACAGGAUUAGGAUACCCUGGUAGUCCACGCGUAAACGAUGAGUGCUAGGUGUUGGAUCCUUCCGGGAUUCAGUGCCGCAGCUAACGCAUUAAGCACUCCGCCUGGGGAGUACGACCGCAAGGUUGAAA